rnacentral:rRNA from 1 species
GAUGAACGCUGGCGGCGUGCCUAAUACAUGCAAGUCGAGCGAACAGACGAGGAGCUUGCUCCUCUGACGUUAGCGGCGGACGGGUGAGUAACACGUGGAUAACCUACCUAUAAGACUGGGAUAACUUCGGGAAACCGGAGCUAAUACCGGAUAAUAUAUUGAACCGCAUGGUUCAAUAGUGAAAGACGGUUUUGCUAUCACUUAUAGAUUGAUCCGCGCCGCAUUAGCUAGUUGGUAAGGUAACGGCUUACCAAGGCAACGAUGCGUAGCCGACCUGAGAGGGUGAUCGGCCACACUGGAACUGAGACACGGUCCAGACUCCUACGGGAGGCAGCAGUAGGGAAUCUUCCGCAAUGGGCGAAAGCCUGACGGAGCAACGCCGCGUGAGUGAUGAAGGUCUUCGGAUCGUAAAACUCUGUUAUUAGGGAAGAACAAAUGUGUAAGUAACUAUGCACGUCUUGACGGUACCUAAUCAGAAAGCCACGGCUAACUACGUG